GGGUUGUGAGGUUAAGCGAAUAAGCGUACACGGUGGAUGCCUAGGCAAUCAGAGGCGAUGAAGGACGUGCUAAUCUGCGAAAAGCGUCGGUAAGGUGAUAUGAACCGUUAUACCCGACGAUAUCCGAAUGGGGAAACCCAGUAUCCAAUGGAUACUAUCAUUAACUGAAUCCAUAGGUUAAUGAGGCGAACCGGGAGAACUGAAACAUCUCAGUACCCCGAGGAAAAGAAAUCAACCGAGAUUCCCCUAGUAGCGGCGAGCGAACGGGGAGCAGCCCAGAGUCUUAAUCAAUGGCAGUGUCAGGAGAACGGUCUGGAAAGUCCGGCAGUAAAGGGUGAUAGCCCCGUAUCUGAAGAUGCUGUUAUUGUGAACUCGACGAGUAGGGCGGGACACGUGUUAUCCUGUCUGAAUAUGGGGGGACCAUCCUCCAAGGCUAAAUACUCCUGAUUGACCGAUAGUGAACCAGUACCGUGAGGGAAAGGCGAAAAGAACCCCGGCGAGGGGAGUGAAAAAGAACCUGAAACCGUGUACGUACAAGCAGUAGGAGCCUCUUUAUGGGGUGACUGCGUACCUUUUGUAUAAUGGGUCAGCGACUUAUAUUCUGUAGCAAGGUUAACCGUAUAGGGGAGCCGUAGGGAAACCGAGUCUUAACUGGGCGAAUGAGUUGCAGGGUAUAGACCCGAAACCCGGUGAUCUAUCCAUGGGCAGGUUGAAGGUUGGGUAACACUAACUGGAGGACCGAACCGACUAAUGUUGAAAAAUUAGCGGAUGACUUGUGGAUGGGGGUGAAAGGCCAAUCAAACCGGGAGAUAGCUGGUUCUCCCCGAAAGCUAUUUAGGUAGCGCCUCGUGAACUCAUCUUCGGGGGUAGAGCACUGUUUCGACUAGGGGGUCAUCCCGACUUACCAACUCGAUGCAAACUGCGAAUACCGAAGAAUGUUAUCACGGGAGACACACGGCGGGUGCUAACGUCCGUCGUGAAGAGGGAAACAACCCAGACCGCCAGCUAAGGUCCCAAAGUCAUGGUUAAGUGGGAAACGAAGUGGGAAGGCUCAGACAGCCAGGAUGUUGGCUUAGAAGCAGCCAUCAUUUAAAGAAAGCGUAAUAGCUCACUGGUCGAGUCGGCCCGCGCGGAAGAUGUAACGGGGCUAAACCAUGCACCGAAGCUGCGGCAGCGACACAAUGUGUUGUUGGGUAGGGGAGCGUUCUGUAAGCCUGCGAAGGUGUACUGUGAGGUAUGCUGGAGGUAUCAGAAGUGCGAAUGCUGACAUAAGUAACGAUAAUGCGGGUGAAAAACCCGCACGCCGGAAGACCAAGGGUUCCUGUCCAACGUUAAUCGGGGCAGGGUGAGUCGACCCCUAAGGCGAGGCUGAAAAGCGUAGUCGAUGGGAAACGGGUUAAUAUUCCCGUACUGGUGGUAACUGCGAUGGGGGAACGGAGAAGGCUAGGUUGUCCGGGCGACGGUCGUCCCGGUUCAAGCAGGUAGGCAGAGUGAUUAGGCAAAUCCGGUCACUUAAUGCUGAGAUGUGAUGACGAGCCACCAAGGUGGUGAAGCAAUUGAUGCCCCGCUUCCAGGAAAAGCCUCUAAGCUUCAGGUUACCAACAAUCGUACCCCAAACCGACACAGGUGGUCAGGUAGAGAAUACUCAGGCGCUUGAGAGAACUCGGGUGAAGGAACUAGGCAAAAUGGUGCCGUAACUUCGGGAGAAGGCACGCUGGCGGUAGGUAAAGUCCCUCGCGGACAGAGCUGAAGCCAGUCGAAGAUACCAGCUGGCUGCAACUGUUUAUUAAAAACACAGCACUGUGCAAACACGAAAGUGGACGUAUACGGUGUGACGCCUGCCCGGUGCUGGAAGGUUAAUUGAUGGGGUUAGCGCAAGCGAAGCUCCUGAUCGAAGCCCCAGUAAACGGCGGCCGUAACUAUAACGGUCCUAAGGUAGCGAAAUUCCUUGUCGGGUAAGUUCCGACCUGCACGAAUGGCGUAAUGAUGGCCAGGCUGUCUCCACCCGAGACUCAGUGAAAUUGAACUCGCUGUGAAGAUGCAGUGUACCCGCGGCAAGACGGAAAGACCCCGUGAACCUUUACUAUAGCUUGACACUGAACAUUGAGCCUUGAUGUGUAGGAUAGGUGGGAGGCUUUGAAGUGUGGACGCCAGUCUGCAUGGAGCCAACCUUGAAAUACCACCCUUUAACGUUUGAUGUUCUAACCUAGGCCCGUGAUCCGGGUCGGGGACCGUGUCUGGUGGGUAGUUUGACUGGGGCGGUCUCCUCCUAAAGAGUAACGGAGGAGCACGAAGGUUGGCUAAGCAUGGUCGGACAUCAUGCGGUUAGUGCAAAGGCAUAAGCCAGCUUGACUGCGAGAGUGACGGCUCGAGCAGGUACGAAAGUAGGUCUUAGUGAUCCGGUGGUUCUGAAUGGAAGGGCCAUCGCUCAACGGAUAAAAGGUACUCCGGGGAUAACAGGCUGAUACCGCCCAAGAGUUCAUAUCGACGGCGGUGUUUGGCACCUCGAUGUCGGCUCAUCACAUCCUGGGGCUGAAGUAGGUCCCAAGGGUAUGGCUGUUCGCCAUUUAAAGUGGUACGCGAGCUGGGUUUAGAACGUCGUGAGACAGUUCGGUCCCUAUCUGCCGUGGGCGUUGGAAGAUUGAGAGGGGUUGCUCCUAGUACGAGAGGACCGGAGUGAACGCACCACUGGUGUUCGGGUUGUCAUGCCAAUGGCAUUGCCCGGUAGCUAAGUGCGGAAGAGAUAACCGCUGAAAGCAUCUAAGCGGGAAACUUGCCUCGAGAUGAGUCUUCCCUGUCGCUUAAAGCGACCUAAAGGAACGUUUAAGACGAAGACGUUGAUAGGCUGGGUGUGUAAGCGUAGCGAUACGUUGAGCUAACCAGUACUAAUGAACCGUGAGGCUUAACCUGACAACACCGAAGGUGUUU
rnacentral:rRNA from 1 species